rnacentral:lncRNA from 1 species
AGGGGUACUGUUAAGAAUGUUAGCGACGUUGGUGACGUUGGCGAACAGGGGUACUGUUCAGAAUGUUGGCGACGUUGGCGAACAGGGGUACUGUUCUGAAUGUUGGCGACGUUGGCGAACAGGGGUACUGUUCAGAAUGUUGGCUACGUUGUCGAACAGGGGUACCGUUCUGAAUGUUGGCAAUGUUGGCGACGUUGGCGAACAGGGGUACUGUUCAGAAUGUUGGCGAAGUUGACGACGUUGGCGAACAGGGGUACUGUUCUGAAUGUUGGCGACGUUGGCGA